CUACGGGGGGCUGCAGUCGAGAAUCUUCCGCAAUGGGCGAAAGCCUGACGGAGCAAUGCCGCGUGCAGGAUGAAGGCCUUCGGGUCGUAAACUGCUGUCACCGGGGAUGAAUAAUGACAGUACCCGGGGAGGAAGUCACGGCUAACUACGUGCCAGCAGCCGCGGUAAUACGUAGGUGACAAGCGUUGUUCGGAUUUAUUGGGCGUAAAGGGUUCGUAGGAUGUUGAUUAAGAUUGGUGUGAAAUCCCAAGGCUCAACCUUGGAACUGCAUUGAUUACUGAUGAACUAGAGUGUCGUAGAGGAAAGCGGAAUUCCAGGUGUAGCGGGGGAAUGCGUAGAUAUCUGGAAGAACACCGACAGCGAAGGCAGCUUUCUGGGCGAUAACUGACUCUGAGGAACGAAAGCAUGGGGAGCAAACAGGAUUAGAUACCCGCGUAGUC
rnacentral:rRNA from 1 species